GUUUGAUCCUGGCUCAGAACGAACGCUGGCGGCGUGCCUAACACAUGCAAGUCGAGCGCGAAUGGGGGCAACCCCUAGUAGAGCGGCGCACGGGUGCGUAACACGUGGGUAAUCUGCCUAGAAGACCGGGACAACCUUCCGAAAGGAUGGCUAAUACCGGAUAAGCCUACGGGGUCCUCGGACCCUGAAGGAAAAGGUGGCCUCUGUAUACAAGCUAUCACUUCUAGAUGAGCCCGCGGCCCAUCAGCUAGUUGGCGGGGUAACGGCCCACCAAGGCAACGACGGGUAGCUGGUCUGAGAGGACGAUCAGCCACACUGGAACUGAGACACGGUCCAGACUCCUACGGGAGGCAGCAGUGGGGAAUUUUGCACAAUGGGCGAAAGCCUGAUGCAGCAACGCCGCGUGUGUGAUGAAGGUCUUCGGAUUGUAAAGCACUUUCGACCGGGACGAAACCGGGUUGGCUAACAUCCAGCCCCUUGACGGUACCGGGAGAAGAAGCACCGGCUAACUCUGUGCCAGCAGCCGCGGUAA
rnacentral:rRNA from 1 species